rnacentral:rRNA from 1 species
ACUACGGGCGGCAGCAGUGAGGAAUAUUGGUCAAUGGACGAAAGUCUGAACCAGCCAUGCCGCGUGCAGGAAGACGGCUCUAUGAGUUGUAAACUGCUUUUGUACAAGGGUAAAACUGAAUACGUGUAUUCAGCUGAAAGUACUGUACGAAUAAGGAUCGGCUAACUCCGUGCCAGCAGCCGCGGUAAUACGGAGGAUCCAAGCGUUAUCCGGAUUUAUUGGGUUUAAAGGGUGCGUAGGCGGAUUGAUAAGUUAGAUGUGAAAUGUCCGGGCUCAACUCGGGAAUUGCAUUUAAUACUGUUUAUCUAGAGAGUAGAUGCGGUAGGCGGAAUGUAUGGUGUAGCGGUGAAAUGCUUAGAGAUCAUACAGAACACCGAUUGCGAAGGCAGCUUACCAAUCUAUAUCUGACGUUGAGGCACGAAAGCGUGGGGAGCAAACAGGAUUAGAUACCCUGGUAGUC